ACUGAAGAGAGACAGUGUCACAUGGGUCUCAGUAACCCGGCCGUGCGCAGGGGGCAGGGCAGCCCGAAGACCCUGGGCCAUACCCCUGUCGCGGCCUGCACCCCGUGUGCAGUUACAGAGGGCACGUCGGUCAGCAGCCCUGUCCGUAAAUCCUAACACCUGAGGCAGAAGUGCGGGCUCCAAGCUGCCCUCCACACGGCGGUGGUGACCCCACGGCAGCGAACGGUGGUCUUCCCAGACCGCUGCUGGCACCAGAGAUUCCACUAAGAGAGGGUGCCGACCGGACAAGCAAAACACUGUCGGUGAAUUAAUUUAUUUAUCUCUGCCAUUAGGAGAUUAGACUUCUUCCCAUGUUUACUGAGCUGAGGGGGUGGGGGGGAGGGCCCCCAGGGACACGUGGAGUCAGGGACUUCCUUGUCUGGGCCACUUCUAAUCUCUGUUCCAUGUUUCAAAAUGUUGGCAGCUGGGACUAAGUUCCUCAAACCCAACGAUGGGGGCACAAGUGUGCCCGGACCCCACUUCACCCUCCGGGGAGGGCCAGCCCAGCGGAUUCUAAUGGCGCCCGCAACGGAGAUGUGCACCGAACACCAUGAGAUGUCCCUUAAAACUCCGCCCGAAAGAAAAACGCAGCGUUCAGCCCAGAGAAGAGAUGAUCUGAUAACUAACCAGCACACCGGGCACAAAGAGACGUGGGUGGGCAGACAAGAGACCUCCGACGUUUGGCUAGAAACCUGCGUUGAAACGGGAGACUCCAAGAAUAGGGAAAAGGGACUGCACAGACUCACCUUCUUCACGAGGGCUGGAGACAAGCAGGUGCACAGAGUAUCCCGUGAUAAGGAAGAAUAUUUACACAAAGAGUAAGAAAUCACCGCUGUACAAAAUCUGAAAAUAGAAAAUAAUGUAGAAAUGUGACCCGUGCGUAACAAGGAAUGCAAUAAAAGUGUGAAUUUCACCCAAGUGAACUGAGUGCAUUCUAAACCAGAUGGCCUGAGGAUUAGCCCCUGGCCUCUACUCCAGGCCAGGUCAGCUCCCAAGGCCUCGGGGAAACGCCCCCAAGUCACAACCGUGGAUCUGAGCUCUAUCUACACUGAAGGCACAGACCCAGAGAACACACAAACAGUAAGACUGUGCAAAUAAGGGCUUGCGGUCACUGCACGCC